CCCCGCUGCGUAGCCUGGUGCGAUAGGACGAGUCCCGGGGACUUGAAAUUUGUAAUGUGGUGUGUAGUCUAGAUGGUAUUCCUAGAUUGACACAAGCUGUUAGGAGCUGUGAAGUUAUCCUGCAGCCCUUUGACGUAUAUCCUAACUUUCUUUCAGGUGCUGAUGCAUUAUAUCCUUGGCGGAGCACCCCAUCCCGGGCUCGUGGGUUCCCCUGAGCAGGUCAGUCAUAGUUUGUAUCUGCAGAGGAAGCGUAAAUGGUGACUAUGUUACACCACUGUUCUCUGUUUUUUAUUUUUAGGAAGUCAAGGCAGCUAGCAGCAGUCAAGUUGAAGUGGGCAAGGUAAUUGACUCAGCGUAUGUCCAGCCCCCGUCACACACCGGCCAAUGCACCGGGUUUCCUGCAUAUGGGGCCUUGUGGAAGUAUUACAGGACUCUGCGAUGAAGCCUUUAAAUUUUCUAUUUCACCGUCCUAUCUGGGUAGCCAUCAGGACCGCCCAAGGAGUUGUGGUGAGUCGGGGAGGUAGGGAGCAGGAGUGAGCGUCCAUUCAGGUUUCAGCAAUGCCAAAUCAAGUUGUCUCCGCUUAAUCUAGGCAGACCCUGCGACAAUGGCGUCAGCCUCCGAGCACGGCCAAAGCGUGCGGCCCAAGGACCUGGGCAUUCUUAAGAAUGUGAGUAAGAUACAACAGCCCGGUGCCAGCAGGGACUGCUCAGAUGGCGAGGCUGCUUUCUUUCGCACCUGACACAGAUUGGCAUGCCCACCUGUCUGAGAGAUAAGUCGAGGGUUGCGACCCGCAGAGGGGAUGAAAGUGGGAUGCUGGCUUGGGACUCCCUGGGAGGGAUUUUUGAGUCUGCUUUGGAGACGGGGAUGUGGAAGAAGCGGCCCCUUAGGGCAUGUAAAGGGAAAGUGUCGCUUUUGAUCACAGCGCUGAGGUGCGCAGGGCAGAGCAGUACCGGUGUGUCUCGUGUCACUUGUCUGUUGUGCGUUCUGUGUGUUUGGGUGUCUCAUGUCUUUUAGCUUAGCCCUUUGAGGGGCCUAUCAGAAACCCACGCAUCAUUCUUAGCAUCUGUGAUCUCUGUGUUCCUUGGCCUGGCACCGAUGCCAUAGAACUUUUGACUCGGGAGCUCAGAUAGGCAUCGGAAUUGCAUCUCUCUUUAGAAGCAUCCGGUCAGAUGUCUUUUCAGGUCUUUUACUGAGCUGUAUGGACAGCUGCGCCGCACAAGGAUACAUUACGGCAGAUUAGGAGUCUUAAGAAUGUGAGGACUGGUAGAGGAUUCUGACCGUAGGAUUCGCAGGCAUCCAUCUUUGCAGUCUCUUGGAAUAAAUAUUUCAGUUAGCAUCUUCUUCCUCCAGGGUUCUCUGAGCCUCAUCAGCUCGCCAUUGCUCCCGACUCGGUCAUCUCUCUUUGCAUUCUUUUGGUCCUUGCAGUCAUUCUUGUUGCCAAGAGAUUUCUAUCCCUGUUGUGUCCCUAUUGUUUGUCACGUCCUGUCCUGUGUCACGGGUGUCUGCACAUAUUUGUGCCGGAGCUGCUCUGCCCCGCUGCGUAGCCUGGUGCGAUAGGACGAGUCCCGGGGACUUGAACUUUGUAACGUGGUGUGUAGUCGGACUUUAGAUGGUAUUCCUAGAUUGACACAGGAUGUUUGGGGCUGUGAAGUUAUCCUGCAGCCCUUUGACUUUUGUCUUAACUUCCUUUCAGAUGCAGAAGGAUAAAAUCCAUGGCAGAGCAUCCCAUCCUGGAUUAGGGGCUUCCCCUGAGCAGGAAGUCAAGCCAGAUAUCAACAGUCAAGUUGAAGAGGGCAAGGCAAUUCACUUGGAGUAUGCAAAGCUCCCGUCACACACCGGCCGAUGGACUGGGUUUGCUGCUCUUGUGAGCCCUCUGGGAGCCUUACAGGACUCUGUGAUGA